rnacentral:rRNA from 1 species
UACGAAGGGGGCUAGCGUUGCCCGGAAUCACUGGGCGUAAAGGGUGCGUAGGCGGGUCUUUAAGUCAGGGGUGAAAUCCUGGAGCUCAACUCCAGAACUGCCUUUGAUACUGAAGAUCUUGAGUUCGGGAGAGGUGAGUGGAACUGCGAGUGUAGAGGUGAAAUUCGUAGAUAUUCGCAAGAACACCAGUGGCGAAGGCGGCUCACUGGCCCGGUACUGACGCUGAGAUGCGAAAGCGUGGGGAGCAAACAGG